AUCAAGCGUCUUAAGUGCAUUCAGUGGAUGCCUUGGCGUGCACAGGCGAUGAAGGACGUAAUACGCUGCGAUAAGCGUCGGGGAGCUGCGAAUAAGCUUUGAUCCGAUGAUUUCCGAAUGGGGAAACCCGG
rnacentral:rRNA from 1 species